AAUCAACGCUGGCGGCGUGCCUCAGACGUGCAAGUCGAACGAUUAAAGCCCUCUUCGGAGGGUGCAUAAAGUGGCGCACGGGUGAGUAACACGUAAGUAAUCUACCUUCGAGUGGGGAAUAACGUUCGGAAACGAACGCUAAUACCGCAUAAUGCAGCAGCAUCUAUGAUGACAGUUGUUAAAGAUUUAUCGCUUGAAGAGGAGCUUACGGCAGAUUAGCUAGUUGGUAAGGUAACGGCUUACCAAGGCGACGAUCUGUAUCCGGUCUAAGAGGACGGUCGGACACACUGACACUGAAUAACGGGUCAGACUCCUACGGGAGGCAGCAGUCGGGAAUUUUGGGCAAUGGGCGAAAGCCUGACCCAGCAACGCCGCGUGAAGGAUGAAGUUUUUCGGAAUGUAAACUUCGUAAGAAUAGGAAGAAUAAAUGACGGUACUAUUUGUAAGGUCCGGCUAACUACGUGCCAGCCGCCGCCGUAA
rnacentral:rRNA from 1 species